GGGCGUUUAGCGCAGUGGUAGCGCGUAUGCUUUGCACAAAAGCGUCUAUGUAUAAGGUCCAGGGUUCAAUCCCCUGAACGUCCA